AUUGAACGCUGGCGGAAUGCUUUACACAUGCAAGUCGAGCGGCAGCGCGGGGGCAACUCUGGCGGCGAGCGGCGAACGGGUGAGUAAUGCAUCGGAACAUGUCCGGUUGUGGGGGAUAACCUGACGAAAGCCAGGCUAAUACCGCAUGAGCUCGAGAGAGGAAAGCGGGGGACCUGCAAGGGCCUCGCGCGACCGGGUUGGCCGAUGUCCGAUUAGCAGUUGGUGGGGUAAAGGCUUACCAAGGCGAUGAUCGGUAGCUGGUCUGAGAGGAUGAUCAGCCACACUGGGACUGAGACACGGCCCAGACUCCUACGGGAGGCAGCAGU
rnacentral:rRNA from 1 species